rnacentral:rRNA from 1 species
AUUGAACGCUGGCGGCGUGCCUAACACAUGCAAGUCGAGCGGUAACAGGUGUAGCAAUACAUGCUGACGAGCGGCGGACGGGUGAGUAACGCUUGGGAAUCUGCCUAUUAGUGGGGGACAACCCGGGGAAACUCGGGCUAAUACCGCAUACGCACUACGGUGGAAAGCCGGGGACCGCAAGGCCUGGCGCUAACAGAUGAGCCCAAGUCGGAUUAGCUAGUUGGUAGGGAACGGCCUACCAAGGCGACGAUCCGUAACUGGUCUGAGAGGACGACCAGUCACACCGGAACUGAGACACGGUCCGGACUCCUACGGGAGGCAGCAGUGGGGAAUAUUGGACAAUGGGCGAAAGCCUGAUCCAGCGACGCCGCGUGGGUGAAGAAGGCCUGCGGGUUGUAAAGCCCUUUCAGUGGGGAAGAAAAGCCUCGAGCUAACACCUCGGGGUCUUUGACGUAACCCAUAGAAGAAGCACCGGCUAACUCUGUGCCAGCAGCCGCAGUAAC